rnacentral:rRNA from 1 species
UGGGGAAUAUUGCACAAUGGGCGAAAGCCUGAUGCAGCGACGCCGCGUGCGGGAUGAAGGCCUUCGGGUUGUAAACCGCUUUUAAUUGGGAGCAAGCGAGAGUGAGUGUACCUUUUGAAUAAGCACCGGCUAACUACGUGCCAGCAGCCGCGGUAAUACGUAGGGUGCAAGCGUUAUCCGGAAUUAUUGGGCGUAAAGAGCUCGUAGGCGGUUUGUCACGCCUGGUGUGAAAGUCCAUCGCUUAACGGUGGAUCUGCGCCGGGUACGGGCAGGCUAGAGUGCAGUAGGGGAGAUUGGAAUUCCCGGUGUAACGGUGGAAUGUGUAGAUAUCGGGAAGAACACCAAUGGCGAAGGCAGAUCUCUGGGCUGUUACUGACGCUGAGGAGCGAAAGCAUGGGGAGCGAACAGGAUUAGAUACCCUGGUAGUCCAUGCCGUAAAACGGUGGAUGCUGGAUGUGGGACCCUUCCACGGGUUCCGUGUCGGAGCUAACGCGUUAAGCAUCCCGCCUGGGGAGUACGGCCGCAAGGCUAAAAACUCUAAAGUGAAUU